UGGAACUGAGACACGGUCCAGACUCCUACGGGAGGCAGCAGUGGGGAAUCUUCCGCAAUGGACGAAAGUCUGACGGAGCAACGCCGCGUGAGUGAUGACGGCCUUCGGGUUGUAAAGCUCUGUGAUCGGGGACGAUGCUGUAGCUAAUACCAUUCAGAGUGACGGUACCCGAAUAGCAGGCCACGGCUAACUACGUGCCAGCAGCCGCGGUAAUACGUAGGUGGCAAGCGUUGUCCGGAAUUAUUGGGCGUAAAGCGCGCGCAGGCGGUUCCUAAGUCCAUCUUAAAAGUGCGGGGCUUAACCCCGUGAUGGGAUGGAAACUGGGAGCUGGAGUAUCGGAGAGGAAAGUGGAAU
rnacentral:rRNA from 1 species